rnacentral:rRNA from 1 species
AACAGGAUUAGAUACCCUGGUAGUCCACGCCGUAAACGAUGUCGACUUGGAGGUUGUGCCCUUGAGGCGUGGCUUCCGGAGCUAACGCGUUAAGUCGACCGCCUGGGGAGUACGGCCGCAAGGUUAAAACUCAAAUGAAUUGACGGGGGCCCGCACAAGCGGUGGAGCAUGUGGUUUAAUUCGAUGCAACGCGAAGAACCUUACCUACUCUUGACAUCCAGAGAACUUAGCAGAGAUGCUUUGGUGCCUUCGGGAACUCUGAGACAGGUGCUGCAUGGCUGUCGUCAGCUCGUGUUGUGAAAUGUUGGGUUAAGUCCCGCAACGAGCGCAACCCUUAUCCUUUGUUGCCAGCGGUUCGGCCGGGAACUCAAAGGAGACUGCCAGUGAUAAACUGGAGGAAGGUGGGGAUGACGUCAAGUCAUCAUGGCCCUUACGAGUAGGGCUACACACGUGCUACAAUGGCAUAUACAAAGAGAAGCGACCUCGCGAGAGCAAGCGGACCUCAUAAAGUAUGUCGUAGUCCGGAUUGGAGUCUGCAACUCGACUCCAUGAAGUCGGAAUCGCUAGUAAUCGUGGAUCAGAAUGCCACGGUGAAUGCGUUCCCGGGCCUUGUACACACCGCCCGUCACACCACGGGAGUGGGUUGCAAAAGAAGUAGGUAGCUUAACCUUCGGGAGGGCGCUUACCACUUUGUGAUUCAUGACUGGGGUGAAGUCGUAACAAGGUAACC